CGUCGUGAGACAGUUCGGUCCUUAUCCUCUGUGGGCGUAGGAAACUUGAGGGAUUCAUUCCUUAGUACGAGAGGACCGGGAAUGACGCAUUUCUGGUGUGGCAGUUGUAAUGCCAGUUGCAGCGCUGCGUAGCCAUGUGCGGAAGAGAUAAGCUCUGAAAGCAUCUAAGAGCCAAGCUCCUCCCAAGAUAAGGUUUCCCGAACGCAAGUUCUUAAAGGCCCCCGGCAGACUACCGGGUCGAUAGGUCAGACGUGUAAGCAUAGCAAUAUGUUCAGCGGACUGAUACUAAUAGGCCGUGAGGCUUGAUCUA
rnacentral:rRNA from 1 species